AGUGAACGCUGGCGGUAGGCCUAACACAUGCAAGUCGAACGGCAGCACAGUAAGAGCUUGCUCUUACGGGUGGCGAGUGGCGGACGGGUGAGGAAUACAUCGGAAUCUACUUUUUCGUGGGGGAUAACGUAGGGAAACUUACGCUAAUACCGCAUACGACCUACGGGUGAAAGCAGGGGAUCUUCGUACCUUGCGCGAUUGAAUGAGCCGAUGUCGGAUUAGCUAGUUGGCGGGGUAACGGCCCACCAAGGCGACGAUCCGUAGCUGGUCUGAGAGGAUGAUCAGCCACACUGGAACUGAGACACGGUCCAGACUCCUACGGGAGGCAGCAGUGGGGAAUAUUGGACAAUGGGCGCAAGCCUGAUCCAGCCAUACCGCGUGGGUGAAGAAGGCCUUCGGGUUGUAAAGCCCUUUUGUUGGGAAAGAAAAGCAGCAGGUUAAUACCCCGCUGUUCUGACGGUACCCAAAGAAUAAGCACCGGCUAACUUCGUG
rnacentral:rRNA from 1 species